AUCUCGUUUCAGUGUGAUUAACAAUGAUUCUAUUGAAAAUAUUUUUGACUCAAUGACAUUUGUUUUUCCCAUAAGGAUAUAAUAUUUGGUGCACAAUAAAGUACUGUUACGAACAAAAUCAAACAACAGCAUUGGGAGACUGAGAUUGUGGCUACAAUUAAUCAGCAAUUUCCAAGCCAGCAUCCCCGUGAUAGGGAAGAAACCAAGAAAAAAUGGAAUAAUUUGUCGUCAGAUGCAAGAAAAAAUCUAAAAGAACAAAAGAACUCUGUAGAGCAAACCGGAAAAGGAAAAGUUUUCCCAAUGAAACCUUUGAACGAGAAGAUUGUCAACAUGAUUUGGGGAGAAGUAGCGCAGCUUUGCCGGGAAACAGCAUAUCCAUAUAUUAUAUAAAAAAAUCAUUCCACAAAUAACAUUAUUUCAAUGAAAUUUAUUAAUUAGGGCGGAGUAGAGACAGACGUGAUGGAAAACGCUAAUGAUACUCUACGUAUUAGUAAUAGUGCCUCUAGUGCUUCUCUCCAUACAAUGAAUGCCUCUAGUUGUACAGUCUUGGCUAAAACGGUUCAAUCGUCUUUUCUUGAAAACGAGGAAGACGACUUAUCUACAUUUGAGUUUGGUGAUAGCCAAUCAAACCAAUCAUCUUCAUAUCAAACAUUUAGUAACGUUGACUUUGCUGACGGUGUACCAUCCAC